AGAUUAGAGUUUGAUCCUGGCUCAGAUUGAACGCUGGCGGAAUGCUUUACACAUGCAAGUCGAACGGUAACAGCAGAGCUUGCUCUGGCUGACGAGUGGCGGACGGGUGAGUAAUAUAUCGGAACGUGUCCAAUAAUGGGGGAUAACUAGCCGAAAGGUUGGCUAAUACCGCAUACGCCCUGAGGGGGAAAGCUGGGGAUUCUUCGGAACCUGGCGUUAGUGGAGCGGCCGAUACCUGAUUAGCUAGUUGGUGGGGUAAAAGCCUACCAAGGCAACGAUCAGUAGCUGGUCUGAGAGGACGACCAGCCACACUGGGACUGAGACACGGCCCAGACUCCUACGGGAGGCAGCAGUGGGGAAUUUUGGACAAUGGGGGCAACCCUGAUCCAGCCAUUCCGCGUGAGUGAAGAAGGCCUUCGGGUUGUAAAGCUCUUUCGCAAGGGAAGAAACGAUAUGGGUUAAUAGCCUAUGUUAAUGACGGUACCUUGACAAGAAGCACCGGCUAACUACGUGCCAGCAGCCGCGGUAAUACGUAGGGUGCAAGCGUUAAUCGGAAUUACUGGGCGUAAAGCGUGCGCAGGCUGUUUUGUAAGUCAGAUGUGAAAUCCCCGAGCUCAACUUGGGAACUGCGUUUGAAACUACAAGACUAGAAUAGGUCAGAGGGGGGUAGAAUUCCACGUGUAGCAGU
rnacentral:rRNA from 1 species